AGUCGCCGGGUGCGGYGUCCGCGGAUGCGGACCCCCCGGCGGCUUUUCUUCCUCGGCCCAAGACGCACUUGUCUCUCGUCCGAAGGACGCCGCAGCCGGUGGGGCAGUUGCAAGCGCGACGGCCUGAAGGCGGUUCCGACGCAGGUGACCGGUGGCUUUUCCCUCGCGGAGGGUCGCCGGUUGUUAGCGGGGAUCGCAGUGGCUCGUCGCCCCACCGAGGUGUCGCGAAGCCCAGAAUGGGCCUCAUCGUCUCCUCCCUURGCUGGAUGCCGGGACUGAGCGUGGCAGUUGAAGUACGCCCGGGCGCCGCACUCCUUCGGAGUGGGCGUCCGGACGGAGUUCUCCGCUGGCCGCGCCGGACCCGUAGGAGGUCGACGGCUCGCGGCGAGUAGGUCGGUCACCCACCCGACCCGUCUUGAAACACGGACCAAGGAGUCUAACAUGUGCGCGAGUCAGUGGGUCUUGAUYAGGCCCACGGGCGCAAUGAAAGCAAAGGUCGAGUCUCCUCGACCGAGUCGGGAUCCCGCCUUCCSAAMAGUCGGCGGGCGCACCGACGACCCGUCCCGUCCGGCUCGCCGGUGGGGCGGAGUCUGAGCGUACACGUUGGGACCCGAAAGAUGGUGAACUAUGCCCGGACAGGAUGAGGCCAGGG
rnacentral:rRNA from 1 species